rnacentral:rRNA from 1 species
CCUACGGGAGGCAGCAGUGAGGAAUAUUGGUCAAUGGCCGGAAGGCUGAACCAGCCAAGUCGCGUGAGGGACGACUGCCCUAUGGGUUGUAAACCUCUUUUAUCAGGGAAGAAUAAAUGCUACGUGUAGCAUGAUGCCUUUACCUUAUGAAUAAGCAUCGGCUAACUCCGUGACAGAAGCCGCGGUAAUACGGAGGAUCCUGGCGUUAUCCGGAUUUAUUGGGUUUAAAGGGUGCGUAGGCGGUUUUUUAAGUGAGUGGGUAAACGUAGGGGCUUAACCUUCAUGUGCCAUUAAUACUGUUAGACUCGAGUACAGGCGAGGUAGGUGGAAUAAGUGGAGUAGCGGUGAAAUGCUUAGAUAUAACGUAGAACUCCGAUAGCGAAGGCAGCUUACCAGACUGCGACUGACGCUGAAGCACGAGAGCGUGGGUAGCGAACAGGAUUAGAUACCCUAGUAGUC